rnacentral:rRNA from 1 species
UACGUAGGGUGCGAGCGUUAAUCGGAAUUACUGGGCGUAAAGCGUGCGCAGGCGGUUUUGUAAGCCAGAUGUGAAAUCCCCGGGCUUAACCUGGGAAUGGCAUUUGGGACUGCAAGGCUCGAGUGCGGCAGAGGAGACUGGAAUUCCUGGUGUAGCAGUGAAAUGCGUAGAUAUCGGGAGGAACACCUGUGGCGAAAGCGGCUCACUGGACCAUUACUGACGCUGAUGCUCGAAAGCUAGGGGAGCAAACAGG